AUGCACCGGUGGCUCAUCGGGGGCUGCGGCGACAUGCGCCCGCCCCGCCGCCGCAUCCAAGAACCGCAAGUCCAAGAGGAGCCUCGGCCGCGUCGGCGCACGUCGUCCCCGCCGAAGCUGAGGAAGACGAGCUCGGAGCCGAUUAUGCUCUCCCUGCCCAAGGACCUGGCGGAGUUUCGGGCGAUGUCUGUGUACGGGAACCUCAAGCUCUUCACGUACGACCAGCUCCGGCAGGCCACCGGCGACUUCAGCCCCACCCAGAUCAUCGGGGAGGGCGGCUUCGGCGUGGUCUACAAGGGUGUCGUUGGCGCUAUGGUGGUCGCCGUCAAGCGGCUCAACCCGGAGGGCAUUCAGGGCGACCGGGAGUGGCUGACAGAGGUGAGUUGCCUAGGGCAGUACAGCCACCCGAACCUGGUGGAGCUCAUCGGCUACUGCUACGACGACGACCACCGGCUGCUGGUGUACGAGUUCAUGGCCAAGGGCAGCCUCGAGAACCACCUCUUCCGACGCGCGUGCACCCUGUCGUGGACGACCCGGGUGAGGAUCGCGCUGGACGUGGCGAGGGGGCUGGCCUACCUCCACGGCGCGGCGCGGCCCAUCAUCUACCGCGACUUCAAGACCUCCAACAUCCUGCUCGACGCCGACUUCGGCGCGAAGCUGUCGGACUUCGGGCUGGCCAAGGAGGGGCCGGUGGGCGGGAAGACGCACGUGUCCACCCGGGUGAUGGGCACCUACGGCUACGCGGCGCCGGAGUACAUGGCGACGGGGCACCUCACGGCGAUGAGCGACGUCUACGGCUUCGGCGUUGUGCUGCUGGAGAUGCUGGUGGGGCGGCGAGCGCUGGAGCCGAGCCUGGCGGGGAGGGCGGGCAACCUGGUGGACUGGGCGCGCCCGAUCCUCAUCCGGGGCAGGAAGCUGGAGAAGAUCGUGGACGCCAGGAUGGCGCAGCAGGGCGCCUACUCGGCGCGCGCGCUGGAGCGGGUGGCGAGGCUGGCGUACGACUGCCUCAGCCAGAACCCCAAGGUCCGGCCCGCCAUGAGCCGGGUCGUGCUCGUGCUCGAGGCCGCGCUCGCCAUCCCGCCGGAGGAGGUGGACGACGGCGAUGGAGGCCGUGGCGGCGGCGACGCCUCUCCGACUCCGGGCCGGUGA
rnacentral:rRNA from 1 species